rnacentral:rRNA from 1 species
GGAGUGAAGUGUCAAGCGGCAGGUAUAUGUCUGCCAAAGUUAAAUACAGAGUAGGAAGACCGAUAUCGAACAAGUAGCGUGAGCGAAAGUUUGAAAAGCACUUUGGAAAGAGAGUGACAUAGAACCUGAAGUCGUGACAAUGACAAGGAAAGUACCUCCAUUUUUGCCAAAACCGGCCUUGAAGCAUUAUCCCUCCGGUCUGCGGGCCGUACCCAUUUGAGGGCAACCAAGUGCGGAAAUGAGGCAACGGUGAAUUGGGCGGAGAUAAGGUGGGGAGCACAGCGUUAAAACCUGCGAGGCUUCACCUCUCCGUGAACUCAAUGUUGGCGACUCGAAAAUGGGGUGCCUUCACCCGUCUUGUAACACGGACCAAGGAGUCUAACAUAUGUGCGAGU